rnacentral:lncRNA from 1 species
AAAAAGAGAAAAAUUGAUAAUUUAAAAUAUCAAUUAUAACUUUUUAAGUAAUUUCAUGAACAAAUACGUAUACAUAAUCGCAGAUAUAUAGAAACAUAUAAAAGCACGUGUAUAUAUUUAUACAUAUAUAUUUUUUUUAUAGUGCUACCAAAACUAUAACAAGCUAUUCUUAUCAGAAGAAAUCCAAGAGUACCAUUUUAUGUCUGUUGCCCUUUCGCAUUUUCCUUUUCUAUACAUUUGUUAUGAUGUUUUUAUAUAUCAAUAUGACAGUGUUUUUAUAAAAAGUAAUAAUAAAAAAAAAAAUUGUUACUCAGUAUUUUUAAUAUGCAUGUUGUAUGAUAAUAUACUAAUACUUUUAUGUUUGUUAAUUAUUUAAUACAUGUACAGAAAGACAUAAAAACAGACACAUACAUGUCUUCAUAGCAAUAUUUUGUCAAAUCACUGGCUUAGCCACAUUGAUUUGCAUAUUACAAAGCUCAUACAGUUAACAAUUAAAUCGAAUCAAUAUAUGUACACAUAUAUGUAUGUAUAUACAUAUAUAUAUAUAUAUUUUUUUUUUUUUUUUUAAGGUUCAUUAGAUUAUACCUACAAUGAUAAAUCUUUAAUAAUAUUAAAUUUUAUAAGAGGAAUAUUUUGUUCUUUAUCAAUUGCAAUAAUUUUUACAAUAUCCAUUGUAUUAAACAUACAAAAUACAUUUAGAACAUAUCCGUUACAGAAGUUGUUUGAUAGCAAAACAAAAAAAUAUCUUCUUUAUAUAUUUUUAUUUUACCUAAUCGACUCACAAAUAAGAGUAAUAACGUUUCUGUUUAUCAUAGAAACGUAUGACGUUAACCCUUUUAAAAUAUUCGUUUUUAUUUUCUCCCAGGAAUUAUAGUAAUGAAAGAAUUGUAAGACUUAGCAAAUUAUUAAUAAAUUUUCGUUUCUUUGAAUUUUUUUUAAUACUUUUUUACGGUUCUUUGUAUUAUGAUGAUGAUGAACUUGAGAAUGUUUCCAUUCUAUAUGCUCAAUUAAUCAAUUUAAUAUUACUAUUCAUUCUUAUAAUAGUAUAUCAAAAAGUUAUAUCUUGUAAAAGAAAGUUUGAAGAAAACAUUGACGAGUUUAAUACAGACAUGUACAACAAUAUAAAUGACAGCUAAUUAUAUGCACUAAUAUUUAUGUGUACGUAUUCACAAAUAAAUAUAUUAUGUUUUUAAUUUUUUUUAACA